rnacentral:rRNA from 1 species
AGAGUUUGAUCAUGGCUCAGGAUAAACGCUGGCGGCGUGCCUAACACAUGCAAGUCGAACGCGUUGCGCAAGCAACGAGUGGCGGACGGGUGAGGAACACGUGGGUUAUCUACCUUGAGGUGAGGAAUACCGGCGAGAAAUCGCCGACAAUACCGCAUACGUUUGGAGACAAACAAAGCGUCGGUGACGAGGCGCCUCAA